rnacentral:lncRNA from 1 species
GUGGACUCGAACUUUCCUCAUAUUGCCCCGUUCUCUGUCUCAGUCUGUUGUAUGGACCUACACACUCUGGAGUGCAUGAUUCCCGAGAUAUUCCAAUUCUACAAAGAUAGGGAUUUUUUUGCUUCAGUUGUUCCUGGCCAACAAUUGUUUCCUCAUUCCAAAAUGUAUGUGAGAGGGCAUAGUCUACCUAAGCUGCAGGAAUAGAUCUAAAAGGUGAGACAGGGGGAGGGGAUAUUAUUUAAUCCUGAUGAUACUCAAUUAUGUGCAGUACGAGGCCAACACAAGGUUGCUAAAAGCCUCAAGGCUAGCUCAGAGCUGCUGCAUUGAGCAGGCAUGCAGGAGCUACAUUU